UACGUAGGGGGCUAGCGUUGUCCGGAAUCAUUGGGCGUAAAGCGCGUGUAGGCGGUCCGGUAAGUCCGCUGUGAAAGUCGGGGGGUCAACCCUCGGAUGCCGGUGGAUACUGUCGGGCUUGAGUACGGAAGAGGCGAGUGGAAUUCCUGGUGUAGCGGUGAAAUGCGCAGAUAUCAGGAGGAACACCAAUUGCGAAGGCAGCUCGCUGGGACGUUACUGACGCUGAGACGCGAAAAGCUGGGGGAGAAACAGG
rnacentral:rRNA from 1 species